GAAGCCAAAUUCAAGAUAACCGGAGAGGAGUUGAACACUUCAAACAGGAAAAGGCUGUCCUUUGCUUCACAAAAGCGAUGCUGAUGAGUAUGCUUUCGUCCUCUCCUCCUUGUAAGCAACUUCCGCUGUCUCCCUCUCUACAUCUGUCUGUGAGAUGCUCCAAUAGGGGAUUCUUCGCAUUUUCUGGGCUUACUGAUAGAACCCUUUCAUCUUGUUCCAAUUUAGGAAACCUCUUUGCAUCAAAGAAGCAUAUAGUGCGUUGCUGUCACAAUUUCAGUGAUAGAAGCAUGCAGAAUGGACAUGAAUUACAUUUUGAAGAGAAAUGCAGGCGUAGGAUCAUCCUUUUCUUUUCUGCCUCAUCAGGCUUGUUUCAAACUUUGCCUUCUUUGGGAAAGACAAAGAGUAAGAACCCAUAUGAUGAAAAACGUUUAUUAGAGCAGAACAAACGGAUGCAGAAAGAAAACAAUGCACCUGCAGACUUUCCAAAUUUUAUUAGAGAAGGUUUUGAGGUUAAAGUAGUGGCAUCAGAGAACUAUAUAAAGCGUGACUCUGGGCUUAUAUACCGAGAUUUUGAAGUUGGUAAAGGUGAUUGCCCAAAGGCUGGUCAACAGGUGACUUUCCACUAUAUUGGAUAUAACGAGUCAGGCCGUCGCAUUGACAGUACCUACUUACAGGGCUCUCCUGCCAAAAUCCGCAUGGGCACUAACGCAUUAGUUCCAGAAAUGUAUACAAUGAAAGUAGUAGAUGAAAGGAAAAAAUUUAUGCAGGAUUUGAAGAAGGAAUUCGAGAUAUGAGGCCUGGGGGGAAGAGAAGAAUGAUCAUUCCUCCAGAACUUGGACCGCCGGUAGGACCUUCCACAUUUUUCAGUUCAAAGCAGUUCGAAGUGUUUGAUGUGGAACUUCUCAGCGUCCAGGAUUGCCAAAGGAGGACUAUAGCAUUCUAUUCCGAUGUUGUAUGCAAUUGACAGGCCUUUUUUUUUUCCAAUCAAAAAAAUUCCUUUUGUUAGUCUGAGAUAAUUAUUAUCUGACAAACAGAGAUUUUGCUUGGAAAUUUGAAUGGCAAGUAUAUCAAUUGAAUGCAAAUUAUUUCA